rnacentral:rRNA from 1 species
UACGUAGGGGGCAAGCGUUGUCCGGAAUCAUUGGGCGUAAAGCGCGUGUAGGCGGCUUGGUAAGUCUGCUGUGAAAGCCCGGGGCUCAACCCCGGGAGGCGGGUGGAUACUGUCAAGCUCGAGUCCGGAAGAGGAGUGUGGAAUUCCUGGUGUAGCGGUGAAAUGCGCAGAUAUCAGGAGGAACACCAAUGGCGAAGGCAGCACUCUGGGACGUGACUGACGCUGAGACGCGAAAGCGUGGGGAGCAAACAGG